rnacentral:piRNA from 1 species
UAGACGAAUUGCUCUACUGGCUGUGUGAUA